AUUAAGAUAGCUUAAGUUAAAGCGUAAUAUUGAAGAUAUUAAUAUGGGGCCACCCUCUUGAUA
rnacentral:tRNA from 1 species